AUACGGAGGGUGCAAGCGUUAAUCGGAAUUACUGGGCGUAAAGCGCGCGUAGGCGGUUUGUUAAGUUGGAUGUGAAAGCCCCGGGCUUAACCUGGGAGGGUCAUUCAAAACUGGCAGACUAGAGUGUGGUAGAGGGUAGUGGAAUUCCUAGUGUAGCGGUGAAAUGCGUAGAGAUUAGGAGGAACACCAGUGGCGAAGGCGACUGCCUGGACCAACACUGACGCUGAGGUGCGAAAGCGUGGGUAGCGAACAGGAUUAGAAACCCGAGUAGUCC
rnacentral:rRNA from 1 species